AACUCCUGGCACCUGAGAAGAGAAGUAAAAAAUCGUUCACAAAUUAUUGAUACACUAUAAGACCCUGCACGUCUCACCCUGUACAUGGAGGCCAUGCAAGAUCUGAGCUCAAUGCUAGAUGCUCCCACUUUAAGGAGUCUCCAUUUAAGGUCCAAUGUGGCUGAACAGAGAGGAUAUGAAGAAGAGUGGCCCAGAUUUCCAGGAAAUAAGGAGAAUGAAAGCCCUUCGAGUAAUGUGGUGUCUUUGAGUUGAAUCAAAUCAUAGUGGAGAGGUCUGGAAGAUGAAUGGUGACUCAGCUGAGAAGGUACUGGUGAUCUCUUUAUCAUGAAAAUGAUGUGGAAAGAGCUUUAGGGGUUCCAACUUUUUAUAUUGACUGUGAAGGACAGUUUGUGCUUGGUUUUCUGCAGCAUAGAGAGCUCGGGACAUAGCAGGUGCAAGGAGGUUCCAGGACUGAAAGCUUUGGUGCUUCUCAUGGCUGGGAUAUCUCAGUGCCUUGGGUAAAGAAGAUGAAGGACCCUCCCUCGCUCAUGCUUUAGGAGCAGGAGCAAACUGUGUAAAAGUCUGCAAAGUUUCUGAAAGAGAAGGAUCUCUGAAAGCAUCUUGUUUCACAGAAGCUUCUUCUGUUCCUGGAAAGGGCUCUGGGGAAUCCAGGGAUCAGUGGUCCUGAUGAUCCCUGGGAGAAGGAUGCUCUGUUCUGGGUUGAGUGUUCUGAGAGACCCUUCUGCAAAGCCGAAGUGCUGCAGAAGCCAUUCUUUCAUGAGAGAUGCAGCACACAGUUCAGCCAAGAUUUGGUCUGCAAAAAGCCUCCAAGGGAAAAUGGACUCUUUGAAUAUUUGCUUUCACAGCUAAUCAUUUUUUUAUGUUUUAAAAUUCUUUGACAGUUUCAUAUAUGUAUAAUACAUUUUGAUAAUUUUUAUUAUGCACUACCCUCUCUUAUAUAUUCCUCCCUAUGCUGCUUAAACCCCUUAUCCUCUCAGCAAGUUCCCCUCUUGGUUUGAUGUCUUUUGUGUGUAUUUGAGCCACUGAGUUUAAUUAUGGAUACACACAUGAACAUAAAGUAUGGGCAAGUGGCUAUGUGGCUAUUCCACCGAAGAAAAUUCUUCUUCUUCCCCAAUACCUACUAAUCUUUUAAAGAGUGUAACUUCCUGAACCUGUCUAUCAAACAUGGUGAAAUGUUGUAAAUUUCUUCUGUAGAUAACCACAGCUAUAGUGAGUUUAUGAAUGCAAUAGACUAGGCACACCCUGAAGACUGUGUUUUGAAAGAAUUCCCUCCCAUUUUCUGGCUCUUACAUUCUUCCUACGCCUUCUUCUGUGAUGUUUCCUAAGCCUUGAUGAGUGGUGUGUGGUCAGGGAAGUGAUGUAGAUGUUCAGUUUAGGACUGAGAUCUCAACAGUCACUUAUUCUCAGGAUUUUGACUAUCUGUAAGUCUCUAUAUUAACUGCCACCCAUGGUAUAAAGCUUUUAUUAUGAAGGUUGAGAACUGAAAUAAUCAGUCUAAAUAUAACUAUUCAGAGGAUAGUUUGACAACAUAUUACUCUAGGCAAACAACGGUGGUAGGUUUUCACAUAAAGCUGUGGUCUCCAUAACUCUUUCCAUGGGUGUUUUGUUUCCCCUUCUAAGAAGGAUUGAAGUGUCUGCACUUUGGUCUUCCUUCAUCUUGAGUUUCAUGUGUUUUGUGAAUUGUAUCUUGGGUUUUCCAACUUCUGGGAUAAUAUCCACGUAUCAGUGAGUGCAUAACAUGUGUGUUCUUUUGUGAUUGGGUUAUGUCACUCAGAAUGAUAUCCUCCAGAUCCAUCUAUUUGUCUAAGAAUUUCAUAAAUUUAUUGUUUUUAAUAGCUGC